UUUGGUGACGAUAGCGGAAGGGAACCACGCGUACCAUCCCGAACACGGCCGUUAAGCCUUCCAGCGCCGAUGGUACGCAAUCGAAGGGUCCUGGGAGAGUAGGAUGUUGCCAAGC
rnacentral:rRNA from 1 species